GACGAACGCUGGCGGCGUGCCUAAUACAUGCAAGUAGAACGCACAGUUUAUACCGUAGCUUGCUACACCAUAAACUGUGAGUUGCGAACGGGUGAGUAACGCGUAGGUAACCUGCCUGGUAGCGGGGGAUAACUAUUGGAAACGAUAGCUAAUACCGCAUAAUAUUGAUUAUUGCAUGAUAAUUGAUUGAAAGAUGCUAUUGCAUCACUACCAGAUGGACCUGCGUUGUAUUAGCUAGUAGGUGAGGUAACGGCUCACCUAGGCGACGAUACAUAGCCGACCUGAGAGGGUGAUCGGCCACACUGGGACUGAGACACGGCCCAGACUCCUACGGGAGGCAGCAGUAGGGAAUCUUCGGCAAUGGACGAAAGUCUGACCGAGCAACGCCGCGUGAGUGAAGAAGGUUUUCGGAUCGUAAAGCUCUGUUGUAAGAGAAGAACGGGUGUGAGAGGGAAAGUUCACACUGGACG
rnacentral:rRNA from 1 species